UACGUAGGUGGCAAGCGUUGUCCGGAUUUACUGGGCGUAAAGAGCGCGCAGGCGGUCGGAUAAGUCGAAUGUGAAGGCCCCCCGGCUCAACUGGGGAGGGUCAUUCGAUACUGUUCGACUCGAAGGCAGGAGAGGGAAGUGGAAAUUCCCGGUGUAGUGGUGAAAUGCGUAGAUAUCGGGAGGAACACCAGUGGCGAAGGGCGACUUCCUGGCCUGUUCUUGAC
rnacentral:rRNA from 1 species